rnacentral:rRNA from 1 species
UAGGGGAUCUUCCACAAUGGGCGAAAGCCUGAUGGAGCAACGCCGCGUGUGUGAUGAAGGGUUUCGGCUCGUAAAACACUGUUGUAAGAGAAGAAUGACAUUGAGAGUAACUGUUCAAUGUGUGACGGUAUCUUACCAGAAAGGAACGGCUAAAUACGUACCAG